CCUACGGGAGGCUGCAGUGAGGAAUAUUGGUCAAUGUGCGCGAGCCUGAACCAGCCAAGUAGCGUGAAGGAUGACUGCCCUACGGGUUGUAAACUUCUUUUAUAAAGGAAUAAAGUGAGGCACGUGUGCCGUUUUGUAUGUACUUUAUGAAUAAGGAUCGGCUAACUCCGUGCCAGCAGCCGCGGUAAUACGGAGGAUCCGAGCGUUAUCCGGAGUUAUUGGGUUUAAAGGGAGCGUAGAUGGGUUGUUAAGUCAGUUGUGAAAGUUUGAGGCUCAACCGUAAAAUUGCAAUUGAUACUGGCAUUCUUGAGUACAGUUGAGGUAGGCGGAAUUCGUGGUGUAGCGGUGAAAUGCUUAGAUAUCACGAAGAACUCCGAUUGCGAAGGCAGCUUACUAACCUGCCACUGACAUUGAUGCUCGAAAGUGUGGGUAUCAAACAGGAUUAGAUACCCCAGUAGUC
rnacentral:rRNA from 1 species